CAAUAGAGAAACUGUGUGUUUGUGUGCAGGUGAUAGAGUUUGGGGAGCUGGAUAAAGCCACGGUGCGAUUCCUGCGUCAGCUGCUCACCAAACUGCUCAAAGAAAUGGAGCCUGAGGAGCUAGUCAGCGUAUUUGGAAGGAUCUCAGGAAUUCCCAAACUAGGAAUGCUGCGGGAGGGCUUGAAGCUUUUUAUCAGCCACUUCCUGCUGAAGAGCAUCAGGAACCAAGGAGCAGCUGAGCAAGCAGAGGAGCUGACGGAGAGAGCCAAGGUCGCAUCCAGGGCCAUGGAGGCCAAGGAGGUCAAGCUCAAACUGUAACACACACACACACACACACACACACACACACACACACACACACACACACACACACACACACACACACACACACACACACACACACACACACACACACACACGAAGGACUUGUGUGUCGUUUCCUUGUACAUAAUUCUAACCAUUAAUUAAAAUGUGGGCUUCAGAGACGCAGCAGUCCUCACCCAUUUGAUUUGAACAUGUUGCCUCUUGAUUCAGAUUUAUUAUCCUGCAAUAAAUGUUUAUGUUUGACGACAA